rnacentral:tRNA from 1 species
GCGGUCGUGGCGGAAUUGGUAGACGCGCUGCCUUGAGGUGGCAGUGGGGCAACUCGUGGAGGUUCGAGUCCUCUCGACCGCACCA